rnacentral:rRNA from 1 species
UACGGAGGGUGCAAGCGUUAUCCGGAUUCACUGGGUUUAAAGGGUGCGUAGGUGGGCAGGUAAGUCAGUGGUGAAAUCUCUGGGCUUAACCCAGAAACUGCCGUUGAUACUAUCUGUCUUGAAUAUAGUGGAGGUGAGCGGAAUAUGUCAUGUAGCGGUGAAAUGCUUAGAUAUGACAUAGAACACCCAUUGCGAAGGCAGCUCGCUACACUAUCAUUGACACUGAGGCACGAAAAGCGUGGGGGAUCAAACAGG